GACGAACGCUGGCGGCGUGCUUAACACAUGCAAGUCGAACGGAAAGGCCCUGCUUUUGUGGGGUGCUCGAGUGGCGAACGGGUGAGUAACACGUGAGUAACCUGCCCUUGACUUUGGGAUAACUUCAGGAAACUGGGGCUAAUACCGGAUAGGAGCUCCUGCUGCAUGGUGGGGGUUGGAAAGUUUCGGCGGUUGGGGAUGGACUCGCGGCUUAUCAACUUGUUGGUGGGGUAGUGGCUUACCAAGGCUUUGACGGGUAGCCGGCCUGAGAGGGUGACCGGCCACAUUGGGACUGAGAUACGGCCCAGACUCCUACGGGAGGCAGCAGUGGGGAAUAUUGCACAAUGGGCGGAAGCCUGAUGCAGCAACGCCGCGUGCGGGAUGACGGCCUUCGGGUUGUAAACCGCUUUCGCCUGUGACGAAGCGUGAGUGACGGUAAUGGGUAAAGAAGCACCGGCUAACUACGUGCCAGCAGCCGCGGUGAUACGUAGGGUGCGAGCGUUGUCCGGAUUUAUUGGGCGUAAAGGGCUCGUAGGUGGUUGAUCGCGUCGGAAGUGUAAUCUUGGGGCUUAACCCUGAGCGUGCUUUCGAUACGGGUUGACUUGAGGAAGGUAGGGGAGAAUGGAAUUCCUGGUGGAGCGGUGGAAUGCGCAGAUAUCAGGAGGAACACCAGUGGCGAAGGCGGUUCUCUGGGCCUUUCCUGACGCUGAGGAGCGAAAGCGUGGGGAGCGAACAGGCUUAGAUACCCUGGUAGUCCACGCUGUAAACGGUGGGUACUAGGUGUGGGGUCCAUUCCACGGGUUCCGUGCCGUAGCUAACGCUUUAAGUACCCCGCCUGGGGAGUACGGCCGCAAGGCUAAAACUCAAAGGAAUUGACGGGGCCCCGCACAAGCGGCGGAGCAUGCGGAUUAAUUCGAUGCAACGCGUAGAACCUUACCUGGGUUUGACAUGGAUCGGGAGUGCUCAGAGAUGGGUGUGCCUCUUUUGGGGUCGGUUCACAGGUGGUGCAUGCCUGUCGUCAGCUCGUGUCGUGAGAUGUUGGGUUAAGUCCCGCAACGAGCGCAACCCUUGUUCACUGUUGCCAGCACGUUAUGGUGGGGACUCAGUGGAGACCGCCGGGGUCAACUCGGAGGAAGGUGGGGAUGACGUCAAGUCCUCAUGCCCCUUAUGUCCAGGGCUUCACGCAUGCUACAAUGGCUGGUACAGAGAGUGGCGAGCCUGUGAGGGUGAGCGAAUCUCGGAAAGCCGGUCUCAGUUCGGAUUGGGGUCUGCAACUCGACCUCACGAAGUCGGAGUCGCUAGUAAUCGCAGAUCAGCAACGCUGCGGUGAAUACGUUCCCGGG
rnacentral:rRNA from 1 species